rnacentral:rRNA from 1 species
AGGGUUUGAUCCUGGCUCAGAAUGAACGUUGGUGGCGUGGAUUAGGCAUGCAAGUCGAGCGAGAAUUGUUUCGUGGAAGCUUCGGCCGAAACGAUUCAAGGACAGCGGCAAACGGGGUAGUAAUGCGUAGGUUACGUACCCUCUGGACCGGGAUAGCCACGGGAAACUGUGGGUAAUACCGGAUAAUCUCUCCGGAGCAAAUGGUGUGAUUCCGCCAGAGGAGCGGCUUACGUGGUACCAGGUUGUUGGUGAGGUAACGGCUCACCAAGCCAAAUACGCCUAGGGGGUGUGAGAGCAUGGCCCCCACCACUGGGACUGAGACACUGCCCAGACAUCUACGGAUGGCUGCAGUCGAGAAUCUUCGGCAAUGGACGCAAGUCUGACCGAGCGACGCCACGUGCGGGAUGACGGCCCUUGGGUUGUAAACCGCUGUCAGAGGGGAUGAAAUCAUUGGGGGUUAUCCCCCUUUGUUGACAGAGCCUCAGAGGAAGCACGGGCUAAGUACGCGCCAGCAGCCGCGGUAAUACGUACUGUGCGAACGUUAUUCGGAAUCACUGGGCUUAAAGGGUGCGUAGGCGGUCUGAUAAGUAGGAUGUGAAAUCCCCCGGCUUAACCGGGGAACUGCGUUCUAAACUGUCAGUCUUGAGUGAGAUAGGGGUGUGCGGAACUUCCGGUGGAGCGGUG